UGGAAAAAAUAUAGAGAAAAAGUUCAUACAAAAAUCCACAGUGUGAAGAGUGAUAAUAAUAACGUUUUUAUAUCUUACAGGAUCCCCAAGCCGAAGCAGCAAACAGGAGAACAGCAGCAGAGUGAGAAGGCCACUAUUAUGGAUCGGGCUGUAACCGCAAGACAACUCCAAUCCAAAUCUCCAUCCCAAACGAGAAAAUUGUUAUGAAACUCAACAAAAUUCUCAAGUGUUUACUGCUCAUCAUUCUCUACUGCAAUGACCAUUGGCCGCCACCCAUUCUUCCACCGAUUAUCCACCGAUACGCCACGAAAUUAAGCCACCAAUUGGUGUCACAUCGCCACCAGAACCGCCACAAAAUUCAAAUCUACAACGAAAUUCAACACAAAAUUCAACUUAAAAUCAACUCUAAGCCAGCAAACUGUAAGCCUCUUCAGGCACUGCCACGCCCAUACGCCACAGCCAUCAACAGUACAGCCACCUCCGCCCCAAGAGGAGGAGCAUUGUGCCCCAAGCAGCAAUUGAGGCCAGCAAAUCACUCAGAGUCCAGGCAGAAACUGCAAGGAAGGAAACCAAAAUUCAAGCAUCCAGAAACACACAGAAAACCCAAAUCGCAAACACAAGGAAAGCUCGGGGCAAAUGCAGAAGGCGCCAUUGCUGUAUCGCCGAUGAUGAUGACAUCGAGAGCCGGCACUCCAAGACGAGGAUCGAGCAUCUGAGGGCGAUAUAAGGAGGCAAAAGGCAGCGACAGGCAGCGACUGAAGCAGCAGCAGAGGCAGAGGCAGCGACGUCUUUAUCUAAGGCAGCGCUCCCCUUUCGAAGGGGAAAAAGUUUUCUACCCCGUUGACACACAGACACACACACACACUCGCACACUCGCACACACAGAUACGACGAGUAUCUAGAUAUUUAGCUGAAUAUCUAAGCAGCAGGGGCAGUGACUGCUGCUGCCCCAUGCAACCCCUCGACAGGAAGGACACUCACACAUACACAACCACCCCAAGCAGGCGCUCCUGCGGCGAAUUCACACACAGGCGCACACCCCCCUAAGCAGCACUCACGCACACAAUCGCAAGCCACACAGAGAAACAGAGAGAGAGAAAGAGAAAGAGAAAGAGAGAGCUCAACUUCAGAGAACAGCACACAUCUGAUGGCGGCACAUUACAUUUCAUCGCAAAAACUGAAACACUAGAAAUCCAAAAUUCAAACUUUCAACUUUCGGCUCCUCUCUGGCAAUCAUCAAAAUCCGAAAAUCAAAAACCAAAAUUCCAACAAAAUUAUAACACAAUUCCAUCAAAAUUGCAACACUGACCGGCCACAAAAUUCAAAAUCCAAAUUAAAUUUAAAGCUUUCCCAAAAACACUUAGAGCAGGUAAUCCGACUAUUAGCUCAAGACACAAAAGAAAAUAUCCAAAACUACAAAAUCAACAAAAGAAAAGCGAAAACAAAAAUACUAAAGAUCGAUGCUGAUGGCUGACCAAAAGAAAACCAAAACGAAAAAAUCCAAAAUUCAAAACCCAAGCUCCAAACCAGCCAAACACCAAAAAAGAAAUCCAAUUGAAAAUUGCCAAAUUACCAAAAAAUUAUCAAAAAGAAAACAAAAGUCGCGACAUUCGCAAGGAAUCCUUCGGUGCAUAGUUAUGGCCACAUUACGAUGAUUAAGUACACCCGUGGACAGUUCUGAAAACAAAAAGCAAAGCCAAAAACAAAACACGAAAAGCGAAAAAAGAAGAAAGAAAUUCCAGCAAAAUUCCAAAAAGGCAGCAUUAUAAAUUACAAGAAAUUGCGGAAGUUUUAAUGCGACAAAAUGUCAGGAGCAAAAGCAAAAAGGAACCCGCGCGCUGGCAAGCAAAAGACGCGACAGGGACAGGCCACCAAAAUAGGACAAGGGCAGGACAGGGGGAGGCUGGCUGGCUGGCAAAAUGCUGGCCAACUUUCUGGCCCAAAAUCUUACAAAUGGCGGCCCGAGAGCUCGAGAGAGGAGUCGAGUGGCAGGCGGCAGAUAAAUCACAGCGAAACAAAACAAUUCCGCAGCUCUUCGCAGCGACCAAAAAUCCACAAAAACACAAACCAGAAUUGGUAUCCGAAUCAGAACAGAAUCCGAAUCCAGACCUAGAGACAAAGACAAAGAACACGCGAUUUCAAAGAACUUUUUGCCUUGAUGAAGGCGCAGAAGGGGUUGAAGCUGGUCCACAAAAAGAAACAGUUGAGCAUAAACAGGCAUAAACAAAAUUUCAUAAACUAUAAAACCCCAAGCACUCCCACCGCAGUUAGCCCAAGAUUCGACCGAUGACCACUUUGAUGGCCUCCAGGGAGAGGCCGCCUCAAGAGCAUUACUUUCGCUCGAAGGCCGCCAUACAAAUAUCACAAAGAUGAAAACCAUUCCGAACCAUUCAUUCAGAGCUAUGAAAACUAUCAAAACUUAACCCAAAUUCAAUUCGAAAUCAAAAUCAGCAUCGCAAACAAAAUGAAGGCACAACCAGCACAACUUCCAGUUUCUGAACUUUAAGUAAUAUUCCGAGACGAGUGUCACACGCACACGGCAGAGAAAGCAGAAACCCCCGCCCUACUCCAGACACACACAAACAUACACCCCAGCUACCGUUCAGACCUUUCAAAUUGUGGUCAGGCGAGAGGUUUCUUUGGCAAAAGUUCGAACCAUCAUCAUCUGUAACAUUCAGAAAAACUCCACCAGCAUCAGCAUCGGCAUCAUGCAGUUGAAAGCACAUCAAACAAAACUUCAAAUUUAUAUAAACUACUGGCAAUAGUCGAGGUCGAGGCAUAAUUGCCAUCAAUAAAUAAAAUAUGGCUGGGCAGGGGAGCCACCAGCACCAGCAAGAGCAACAGCAACAGACCAGAGCAACAGCAGCAAGAGCAGAGCAGACCCUGAAGAGACACCAAUCCUGACAAUCCCUUUCCCAGAUACAGCCCCAAACUUCAGCAGCAAGCACUCAAUGGCCACUAGACAGCAGCAGAGCAGAGCACAUUUUGAUUUAUAAAUUCAUGGCGAAAGUUGCCAGGCCAAGCGGCAGCCGACGCCACCCAACCCACCAAUCCACUCAAUCGCCACACGAUGACGAAACACAUACACACACACACACCACCAACACCACCACCUAGAGACUUGGCAGCAAAGCAACAAGAAAAUGCAAAAACCGUCUUAUGAAAUUACACAUUUCCGACUUGUACUAACAGCAGCAGAAAGAAAAAAAAA